rnacentral:rRNA from 1 species
UGCAGUCGAGCGGUAAGGCCCUUCGGGGUACACGAGCGGCGAACGGGUGAGUAACACGUGGGUGAUCUGCCUCGUACUCUGGGAUAAGCCUGGGAAACUGGGUCUAAUACCGGAUAUGACCACGAAUCGCAUGGUUUGUGGUGGAAAGAUUUAUCGGUGCGAGAUGGGCCCGCGGCCUAUCAGCUUGUUGGUGGGGUAAUGGCCUACCAAGGCGACGACGGGUAGCCGGCCUGAGAGGGCGACCGGCCACACUGGGACUGAGACACGGCCCAGACUCCUACGGGAGGCAGCAGUGGGGAAUAUUGCACAAUGGGCGGAAGCCUGAUGCAGCGACGCCGCGUGAGGGAUGACGGCCUUCGGGUUGUAAACCUCUUUCGACAGGGACGAAGCGCAAGUGACGGUACCUGUAGAAGAAGCACCGGCCAACUACGUGCCAGCAGCCGCGGUAAUACGUAGGGUGCGAGCGUUGUCCGGAAUUACUGGGCGUAAAGAGCUUGUAGGCGGUUCGUCGCGUCGAUCGUGAAAACUUGCAGCUCAACUGCGAGCUUGCGGUCGAUACGGGCGGACUAGAGUACUGCAGGGGAGACUGGAAUUCCUGGUGUAGCGGUGAAAUGCGCAGAUAUCAGGAGGAACACCGGUGGCGAAGGCGGGUCUCUGGGC